GGAGACGUGGGUGAGUGGCUGAAACCAACGGUUUGCUAAACCGUCGUACUGGGAUUACCGGUACCGAGGGUUCGAAUCCCUCCGUCUCCG
rnacentral:tRNA from 1 species